rnacentral:rRNA from 1 species
UGAUCCCCUUCGGGGGUGACGCUUGUGGAAUGAGCGGCGGACGGGUGAGUAACACGUGGGCAACCUGCCUGUAAGACUGGGAUAACCCCGGGAAACCGGGGCUAAUACCGGAUAAUACUUUCUUUUGCAUAAAGGAAAGUUGAAAGGCGGCUUCGGCUGUCACUUACAGAUGGGCCCGCGGCGCAUUAGCUAGUUGGUGAGGUAACGGCUCACCAAGGCGACGAUGCGUAGCCGACCUGAGAGGGUGAUCGGCCACACUGGGACUGAGACACGGCCCAGACUCCUACGGGAGGCAGCAGUAGGGAAUCUUCCGCAAUGGACGAAAGUCUGACGGAGCAACGCCGCGUGAGUGAUGAAGGUUUUCGGAUCGUAAAACUCUGUUGUUAGGGAAGAACAAGUAGGAUAGUAACUGAUCGUACCUUGACGGUACCUAACCAGAAAGCCACGGCUAACUACGUGCCAGCAGCCGCGGUAAUACGUAGGUGGCAAGCGUUGUCCGGAAUUAUUGGGCGUAAAGCGCUCGCAGGCGGUCCUUUAAGUCUGAUGUGAAAUCUCGCGGCUCAACCGCGAACGGUCAUUGGAAACUGGAGGACUUGAGUACAGAAGAGGAGAGUGGAAUUCCACGUGUAGCGGUGAAAUGCGUAGAGAUGUGGAGGAACACCAGUGGCGAAGGCGACUCUCUGGUCUGUAACUGACGCUG